rnacentral:rRNA from 1 species
AUUGAACGCUGGCGGCAUGCCUUACACAUGCAAGUCGAACGGCAGCACGGGAGCAAUCCUGGUGGCGAGUGGCGAACGGGUGAGUAAAGCAUCGGAACGUGCCCAGUCGGGGGGGAUAACGUAGCGAAAGCUACGCUAAUACCGCAUACGAUCUGUGGAUGAAAGCGGGGGACCGUAAGGCCUCGCGCGAUUGGAGCGGCCGAUGUCAGAUUAGGUAGUUGGUGAGGUAAAGGCUCACCAAGCCGACGAUCUGUAGCUGGUCUGAAGAGGACGACCAGCCACACUGGGACUGAGACACGGCCCAGACUCCUACGGGAGGCAGCAGUGGGGAAUUUUGGACAAUGGGCGCAAGCCUGAUCCAGCAAUGCCGCGUGCAGGAUGAAGGCCUUCGGGUUGUAAACUGCUUUUGUACGGAGCGAAACGGCUUCCACUGAUACUGGGGGCUAAUGACGGUACCGUAAGAAUAAGCACCGGCUAACUACGUGCCAGCAGCCGCCGUAAGAC